AAAAACACGGAGCGUUGGAUCUUGCCUCAAUAAUUGACGUGGCAUAUCUAACAAUCACAAGGUUAGGGCGCACAAAGGAAAUUAUCAAAAAUGAAACACGAUAUUGCAUUUAAAUUGAACCAAUCAGAACAUUUAAAAUGUCCAACGUGGAAGCAAACUCAGAUGACCUGAGAUAAACUCUGGUCAUCUUCCCCGAUGAUCCCUCAUUGGAGUUUCAUCAUUUAGUAAAUUCAGAACACGAGACCACCACCAAUGUGAUCGCCUUAUCAUCA
rnacentral:lncRNA from 1 species